GCUGACCUGAAAUGGGAGAUAGGCCUCCCAGAGGCCAGUGGAGAUGGGUGGCUGGGAGGGAUCCUCAUCAUUUCUCUACAUUUUCUUAAUUGAAAACUAAGGAGGUGACAUAAUAGGGGCUCCCUCCCAUGCCACGCAUUUCUAUUGUUUCUGGGUUUCUCUCCCUUUUCCUUUCUUGC
rnacentral:pre_miRNA from 1 species